rnacentral:rRNA from 1 species
UGGGGAAUAUUGGACAAUGGGCGCAAGCCUGAUCCAGCCCAUACCGCGUGGGUGAAGAAGGCCUUCCAGGUUGUAAAGCCCUUUUGUUGGGAAAGAAAAGCAGUCAUUAAUACUCGGUUGCUCUGACGGUACCCAAAGAAUAAGCACCGGCUAACUUCGUGA